rnacentral:lncRNA from 1 species
AUUAUUGAAAUAAGGAAAAGACGUUUGUCAGGUAGUGUAGAAGAGCUGGCAGAGUGCAGGGGUCACCGUGUUGAACAAAGGCACACAUCAGAGACACAGCUGCAAACUCAGAAGAGAACCGGAUUCUGGGCGAAACUACAGGUCCACAGGAGACAAUGAGCGACUCGAUUCGGUUGCCAGGCACCCCUGGGACCUGGCGGCCACCUGGCAGGAGCAGAAGAUGUCUCUGGGAGUAGGGAGGGAAUGGGUCCCGCUGAAGGCGAAGGGCUGGCCGGCCCCUCCAGGCUGGGUGGCGAGCUGCUGGAGUCAUUGUCCAGGGGCUGUGGCCAGCUCAGAUACCUCCCGGGUGAGUCCGGACCGCUGAAGGCUGUAGUGUGUCGGCGGGACGCGGUGGACCGGGAUGGCAGCGGCAGUGGCAGCGAAGGUCUCUGGGCACCUGGAUGCGGGCCUGGCAGUCGGGCAGCGAAGGUCUCUGGGCACCUGGAUGCGGGCCUGGCAGUCGGGCAGGGGGCGGGCGGCUGGCAGCGGCCGGGCCGUGGGUGGUCUGUCCCGUGUGUAACGGGAGCCCGGCUUGCAGCUGGAGCGCAGGACCGAGUCCAAGUGUGCAUGGGAGGGGCCGGGCUGGCCGGAGAGGGCGGCGGCCGCCUCAGAGCCAGGCCCGGCGGCGGCGGCAGCGGCGGCGGCAGCGGGAACCUGGAGCGCUAUUCCUGGAACAAAGGCAAGCACUACGCGGGAGGGGACGCGAGCGCGGGGGAGAUCGCGGCGACUCGAAGGUGAGGGAGGGAGGAGGCGCGGCGGGAGGACGCCCGUGGCCAUCUGGGCGGCGGCGACUGGCGCAGCGGACCCUCCCCCGAGCACCCGCCCCCAAGGCCCGAGGGGCUCCCGGCCUAGAAGUCCUCGUCCUCCACCCAGCCAAAGACCCGCUUCAUCUCGGCCAGGAAGCCCCGGUAAUCGUUGAGGAGGGGGCUCUGCUUCCUGAUGUAGGGGAUCACCCACUGCAGGGCCGGCCCGGUGAGGCGGGUGAUGAGGAACGUCACCUUCAGGGCAUCGCUGGAGAACAGGGUCUCGUCCACUAACAUGUAGGCGCCCGUCUGCACGAUGAACUCCGGGAGCCGGUCGGUGUCGCCGUCAAACGUCUCGGGGAAGGGAAUGGGGUUCCUCCACCGACGCGCCUGGGGCCGGAGGGGCAGGGCCAGGAGGGCCUUGAUCAGCUGCACUCGGCCGUCCAUCGCUCCUGGCUCGCUUUGCUGGGCUCCGCGGGACUCGGUGGAGGUCCGCGAGGAGGCGUGGCGGGAAGUGCGUGUGUGCGGAGGCGGGCGCGGGGUUCGUGCGGGCGGGGCCAUGGGCGGUACCCGGCGCCGGCGUGGCUCCGCCCACAGGCUCGGGCGUUCUCUAGUGCGCAGG